GGAGAAGUACCCAAGUGGCUAUAAGGGGCUCCCCUGCUAAGGGAGUAGGUUGUGUAAACGGCGCGAGGGUUCGAAUCCCUCCUUCUCCGCCA
rnacentral:tRNA from 1 species